GAGAGCCGGAUGCGUAACGAAAGACGCAUGUCGGGUUCGGCGAGAAGGCAAGCGAAACCAAUGAUUGAGAGAUCAAACUGGCGCGCUUGCCUUACUCUAC
rnacentral:misc_RNA from 1 species